CAGUAGGGUCAGACCACAGAGAUACCUGCGCUCUCUGGAGCCCCUAAGGACUAGUUUCAUUUUGUCAUCAUAUCCACUUUGGGGUGAUAAUAUUACUCAUCUUGAUUACCUAUUUGAUUCACUGACCUCAGCUGAAAACAACUCUUGUCUUUUUCCAGCCUGUGGAGGAGUUUGGGAAAUGAUUUACCUUCACAGAGCCAUGCCCGGCGAUUUUCAUGAGCCCCAGGCUCAUUAUACUGAUAAUUGCUAACAUUUGUUGAGCGUUUGCCACACGGCAGGAACUGGGGAGCCCUGAGACCCCUUGCCUGGAAACACACUCUUGGAUGGUUCUGCCCCAAGCAAAGCCUUCACACGGAACCCCAGCCCAGCAUCCUGGAAGGAUAUCAGCCCCUCUCAGCCAUCCCCCAGCCUGGAAUGCAGUGUGAUGACUGGACCUCCACAGUCAUCUUGUUCCAUGAAGCAGU